GUUUUGGUGUAUCUCCUAGUCGUGGUAAUACUACUGCUGGCCUUGGUUCAAUGGGAACUUGUGUGCUACUAAUAUUUUCUUGGCCAAGUACUGGAUUAGUGUAUCCUGCAUGCUGAUCUCAGCUCCACUUUUGGCCAUAUUCCUGCUAAUUCGACAAGUUCGAUAUUUUCCAAUUCUGGGAUGGCUGCUUAUGUGCUCCAUUAUAGAGUUGAUGGUAAUUGGUGUUUGUACCUUGGCUGCUUACUGCCAUGCGCUCACCUUUCUGAUUUACUUUACCAUAACUGCGAUUUUGGUGAUCGUCCUUGUGCUGAUUGGAUCCUUUAUUCCCUGCGACUUAACUGCUAAUGUGGCUUCGCUGUUCAUCGUCAGUGUUCCGAUAUUGCUGUAUAGCAUAUAUUUACUUAUGAUCUUCAUGAUGAUUGAUUCGGACGAUGGAUUUUUCAUAUCCUUCGCUGUAUUGGUUUUGGUUAUAGUGUGUAUGUUUAUCAUGUACCAUGCCCAACUAAUUAGCGGUUGGCGAUACGCAGAGCUAUAUAUCACCGAUGGACUCUUUGCCGUGAUCGUCCUUUUCUGUCACUUCUGCAUUAUCCUGAUGCUUUUCUGCUUUUUGGAUUGGCCCCAAAUUGAUGAUGUUGAUGAUACUGAUUCUUCUGAAUUUGGUAAAUCUUCAACCACUUAUGAUUUAACUAAAAACCUGCGCAAUAAAUUCGGUAUUGGAAUUUUUAAUACGGCCCAACCUUUUGAAGAUGUAAUAAAUCUUUGACUGAAGUUAAUGUAAAAUAAUAUAUAUAUAUUGUUUCCUUUAAGAAACAUGACCAUGCCUCGACGAAUGAACAGCGGCACCAACACUUAUUAUUCACUUAUUAUUGCCACGAUAAUCCCUAUCUUGUUUUAAUCAAAUUGAGCCGGGACUUAUCUCUCAUUGGCAUAACCAAGGAGGAAAGGAGCAAGCGAGUAGUGGCCAUCUGGCAUGUGGCUUAAAGGAUUCCCCCGGCUGGGAAUAUAAAUUAUCGCAUUAUGCUUGCAGCUCAGCUUUUUCGCCCGCCGUGCCAUGAUACCAAUUAGUAUAAUUACCAGGGGAAGAAAAAUGAAAACAGCACUUUUUAGUUGGUAAAUACUUAAUGAAAAGCGCAGUUCUACUCCGCAUUUGCACAUUGCUGUGCAGUGGGCAUUAAUUUUUAUGAAAUUGUUUUAACUUUUAAGCAGCUUACUGGGCUCUGUGGCCAUUGGUCUCCUCAGCUGUCAUUGAAGAUGAUUUUUUGGGUCAGACCACUCAGGACUUCGGGCGCCUGCUAAGCCCACUCGUCGACAUUAUAAUAACAUCCAUCAUUCUGGACCAUACACAAAUGACAACAACUGCCAAAAAGUAGCACAGUAGUAAAAAUAUAAACAAAACGGCCAAGGCACAGGGAAAACAAAUAAAAAAAAUAAGUAAAAGCCAAAAACAAGUUUCACUUGGACUGCUCACUGAGUAAACAUGACAUAUUUUUGUUUACCCAAAACGUUUUCCUCGUUCUUCUUGUUAGAAAAGGUGGCUGAUGGGCCUUUUAGGCCAGAAAUGAAUGGGCCCUUUGACCACCAUUUAACCUGCCGUUUCGCCGCCUUCAUACACUCGUCUUUAUGCCUUCAUAUAUAUGUAUAUUAAUAUACAUAGGAAUAUGUAUAGGAAUGUGUAUGAGUGUUUAUGCAUCCAAUAAUAAGCAAUUCGUGCACAUAAUUGGCAGUGGCAUGAGCCGAAGCGGACAAAGUAAAUAGCCAUAAUUAAUGUAUACAACAUAAAUGUGACCUGACCGAAAUACGAAAAGCGGUCGAAGCUCACGAAACGACGGAGCCUCAAAAGAAAUGUUUGUCUUCAACGGUGCACAGUGGCUCAAAAUCACAGCUGAUUUUCAGACUUGCUUUCCAUUUUCAAUCUCAUAUAAUAGCAUUGGGGCUAUAAGAAUGAUUAUAAUUUUUACCAAAAAUCAAAUUUAAAAUGGAUAUUGCUGAUUACACAUAUCCCAUAACAAAGGUCUCCUUGGAGCUAUUCCACUGCCAUCUGCUGAACGUUGUAUGCUGUAUAAUGCGUAUACGCCACGUUGUACGCAGUGGAAAAUGUGCAAUAAAGACCGUUUUUUUUUUCAUUGAUACGCAAAGCAGCGAUAUGGGCAUCUAUGUUAUACAAUGCAAAGUGUAUAUUGAGUGCGGAAUGUUUAAGCCAGACAUCUCUGGGAAAUUGUGAAGGAUGAAAAAAAGGGGGCGAGUGCGGACGGAAAAAAGAGCAUCAGCCGCAAAAUUGGCAGAAACAACAGGAAAAUGUUUUUCGCCGGCGUCGCGAUGCUGUUUCGCUGAUGUUUCUCCGGCUGAUUGCGUUGACGAAAUCGCAUUGACGGUCGAAAACACAGCGAAAAAUAAUAAUAAACCAUUUAAAUAAAAAAUUCAAAAAUGACAAUGAACAAAAUUGAAAAACCAAUCUUUCAACCGCAGGGACUACAUAUUUUUGAAUUGACUAUUAAG
rnacentral:tRNA from 13 species